CAACGUUGUUCUCCUGGUUCAACCUAGUCAAGCAAAGAGUUCUCUGUUCUUCGUUGAGAUAUUUGCUCUUCUCGGGCUUGCUGGGCAUGAAGAAGAAGACACAAAUAGCAAGAAGAAUGGAAGGGCAACCCUCAAUCAAGAACAAGAUCCUCCAUUGCUCGAUAGGACUGUUCUUGAUACUAGACACCCCAAACGAGAUCAAACCGCCGAAAGCACCAGAGACCGCACCAGCCGAGAUGAAGAGACCAACGCGCUUGGCGAGAUCUGACUUGGUGUACCAGAAGGAGAAGUGAAGAGCCAUCGCUUGACCGAACAUGGAUUCACCGACACCGACAAAAAGACGACAAACGUAGAGUCCGGCCUUGUUGAAAGCAGCUGCUUGGCAGGUUGCGGCGAUGGAUCAAAUCAUAGCACCGCAGGCGAUAGAUCUAGAAGGAAGGAAUUGCUUGGCCAGGAGAGUACCGGGGACCUUUUGAAGGACGUUAGAAGAGAGACGCGAGCAGCACUGUCAUAAGUUUACGCACUGAGAACACAAUGUACUGCAGGAACGGUAUCAGCAUAAAUACGCAUCGAGAAAUGAACCGAGAACGUACAGUCACGAAGAAACAGCAGAGAGCAAUCGAGUAGUUUCUGUCUUCACCAUCCAAGAGUUCCUCCUGCAGACCUUGCAAUCUCGCGUUUGCUCUUUCCGCCAAAGUUAGCUCUGCAACAUGCCCACUUCAGUGUAACAGCUCACAAGUUUCCUCUGUCAAGGUAGGCGCUCAGGUACAACAAAACCGCAAAAGGCAAAAUGGCAACGUCUGCGCAGCAAUAACUUCCUCUCCGCUUUCUUGUGUUCCUUCUUGUAGAGCAAGCCAGAUUCACUCUCGGCAUAUCUUGUACUUCCCUUCUCGGUGUCACCGCCUUCAGUCGUACGCGUGCCGAUGGGAUGCAAGGGAGACUGCUUCUCAGCAUCGACAUCCUCGGUCUGCACCUCGAUCGGUUUUUCAAUCUCUACUGGAUCUGUGUUAAAAGUUGCGUGUCGAACCAUAUUACUGGGGCGGCAACUGGGCAAAAUGGAUUAGACGGAAAAUUUAAAGGGCGGUGGCUUUGAGUUGAGGUGUGAGCCCUAAUGAUAUUUUGGAAUAUGGUGAAUUCCAAAAAAUGGUUUGAGAAGGGGAGCGGCUUGACUUCAUGAGGUUCAUAAGCCUUUAUAUGCUUGGAGCGCUAUCUGGCGUUACACAUAUGAGCCGGUCAGCAGGGGGCACGUAUAAUAUCGAUAUCAAAUCUAAAUUGUGUCCGUGUCGGAAACUUGGCAAACCUUUUCUGUCCAUUCGUCGAUGCCGCUUUCCCUGCCGAAAAUGCAAAGACCGCUGUUCGUUGCAGAACAUAACAAUAACUCUUUACUCCUCGUUCCUCGAGGCUUUCGCGGGCCAAUCACUAGCCACCAAAUUGCGGACAUCAACCCGAAAUUCGAUAAAGCGGGGUAGGCUUUUCGUAUUUCUCCACGCCCCCCACGCAUACCCUUAGCUCCUGCUGCCCUCAGCCACUAGUAGUUAGUCGUCCCUCUGUCCUUUAUCAUUAGCCCAUUUUCGAAUCCCAGAACAAUCUUCCAGAUCGUACAUGCAGUCGUCGCCAUGCAUAUAGGGUGUCCAGAG
rnacentral:sRNA from 1 species